AUGCCCAGUGAUUAUAAAAAGACGCGUUAUUCUGAGGAACACAACUUGCUGCCAGUCUUUCCUCUACCCUGUCCUUCCUCCAUCCAUCCUCACCUUCCUCCUCCUCCUCUUACUUUUCUUCUAACUGGUAGCUUGUCCGCUGACUGCGAUUAUGAGAUAUGAGGGCGU
rnacentral:snoRNA from 1 species